rnacentral:lncRNA from 1 species
CCCCAUGGCUGGGACACGAACUGGCCUCGAACCCACCCACGAACUGGCCUUGACCUCCCCUGCAUCCCCCAGGCUGGCGGCCUCACUCUGUGGCUGUGGGGCCUUUUCCCUUCCAGCUCCUGGCCCUGUUUUCCUGGGUCUUGUAUGGGCGGGGGCCUUAUGAAUGUACCAUCCAAGUAGAAAAGAUGGGCUCACCACACGAACGCAGCUUCCAGACACCUCCAGCUGUGUCUCCCCAGGACCCUUCCAUGGAGGUCUGACAGCCCUGGCCCAGGCAGAACACGGCCUCAGCGUGCUCCUGUGGACCCUGGUGGGAGCCCCAGGAGCCGCGGUGAUGGG